UCCUUGGGGGUGGGUUCGGCACCCAGCGCCCUUGCAGUGGGGAGAAUGGGGCUGCGGGAUCUGUGGCAGGGGCGUCGCUGCUUUUGCAGGGAUCCUCAGCGGUUUGCGGAGCUUGUCAGCCUUUCCCUUCAGGCUCAUCAGGCCAGAGACAGCCCCUGCUCCUGGACCAUUUCCCUUGGGAAUCGGCUCAAGAGUCGUGGCAGCAUCACUUGUGCGCCUGGACUGCAGAAAGGAGAAAUGGAGCAGGCUGUGGAGAAUGGAAGAAUCAAGAUUUUGUUCCAAGGAAAGUGAAGGAGGAAAACCAAAAUUCUGCCAACAGAAAACCAGUGUUUGUCCUCUGUCACUUUCAUUGCCAUCCCACCUAGUACAGUGGAAUCCCAAAGGGAAACAGAAGUAACCAGAAGGGCAAAAAUAAUGCAACAACAAUGUGACUGGGAUGACUGCUAUGCUGGCUAACACCAGAGACCAAACUGGGGAACCUCCAGAGCUUAAAAGCACAGCCCCUUUUAUAACCUGAGCUGAGGCAAGAGGUCUGCAAGACACCUGUAAGCUCUAGGGACUGGGAAGGCAGAGGGAGGGGUAGGCUACAGCUGGCUCCUCAGUUACAUGAGCUCGCUCUGGAAAUUAACUCUUUCCAAGUGUCUCGGCUUUACAGCAUUGCAAAUCCUGUGCAAGUCACUACCUAAGUGAUAACAGUAUCUUACUGGCCAUACCAGAAACUGGAUUUAGUCCUAAGCCUGAGGAAGACUAAUCCUGAACUCAAGUUAAUCUUAGAUUCUCUGCAGAUGUUACUGGCAAGUUUACCGGGCUUGUUCUACAUUAAGGAUUCUGUCAUGGUUACAAGGUUAAUGGCAUUCCUGGCUGUUCCUGAUGUCAAGCUCUUGGACGAACUGGGUAGUCAUUCUCCUGUGCCUCAUCUGGAAUCCCCUGUGCAGAAAAAGAGCUGUCCUGCAACAGGUCUUCCUCAGAGUUCAUUGAAAAUACAGAGAUGGGAGAGGCAGGCCUGUAGUCCAUUGUCUUCUUCAGGAUCACUGGUACAGAAAUGAUUAAUGGAUGACAUUAGUCCACAUCUCUCCUUGACAAUCUUGGGCUAUGGGAGAUUCCACAGAGUCUUGGUACAUGACCAAGCUCUCCCUUACUUUUUAAGUAUAUUUUCUAACAAGCAGCCUGUGUAUUCUUUGCUGCAGGUUAAGGUUCCAUAGGGUGUGUUGGUGAUUUCCUGCAAACCUCCUCUCUUAUUCAUGCCUUUAAAUCCUGUUUUUGUGCUGGAGGUUAUUCAAUUGUGUAAAAUCCCAUGCAUACCCCUUGUCUAAUGCUUUCCUUCCUCAGACCAUUUCUACAGCCUGUUAAGGUCAUUCUGAGUCCUGACCUUGACAGGUAUGUACGUGCAGCCCCGUGCAGCUUAGUGCUAGCAAAUUUAGUAAGCAUAAUCUCUCUUCCAUCAAGCAAUCUGUAGUGAAAAAAAUGCAUAGAAGCAAGCCAAGGACAAGACAUACAGAACAGUUUUGGAGAAACAACAGUGGCAAAUAACUGAAGGCAGAUGAUAUGAUUCUCAAAGCUAAUACUUUUUGGUUUUGCACUAAGUUCCGAGAUCUGGGAAAUUCCUAUUUUAAUUAAAGGUAUUUUAAAAUAUUUUUUAAUAAUGUUUUCACUAGCUGUUGUACCAGUUGGAUCUCAAUCUCAAGGUUACAUUUCACCAUUCUGAAAUUAUUUCACAGAACAGAGUGGCUCUACCACAGCCUUGAUUAGCCCAUGGGUCACUUCCAGACAGGUGGCUUAUCUCUCACUGAGAGGGCUGCACUGCACUGGCUCCAGGGCUGGCUGUGCCAGCCAGGCAUCACGCUGCCUUCACCAGCUAGAACAUGGGCAACUGCUCUCACAGUGAGAAUCAGUGGUAGAAAACAUAGGAUCUUCCCAGUAAGGUGGGAAAUGUGCUGCUGUGUAAACUUUGGCAGCGUUUAGCCCCAAGAUAUCGAGUCUGAUCUGGGGAGGAGGCUCCACUGUGAUGAGUUCUGGCACAUAAGUUUCACAGACCCAGCUGAUACCUGCUCAUUUAGAGAAUAAAUAAAACAGGAUUUAAGAAUUAGUAUGCCUUUUUUUUUUCUGGAUGGUGAUGUCAGGCCUUAAGAAAGGUAUCUGAUAUAAUUACUUGUAGAAAACUACAGACAGAUAAGCAGCUUCCUGCUUUGUCCAUCUCUUCCUACUCCCAACUUGACAUUGAAAAAAUACACAGCUGAGGACCCUUGUGGGAGGUGACACAAAGCAGGAGUCUGACCUUCUGUUUAUAUUUCACCUGUGUAAUUUAUUCACUCUGUAAGCAAUUGUCUUGAGUGUCCUGAGCCACAGUAGUAAAAGAGGAGCAAAGUUCCAUCCAUUCCUCAACAAAUUUCUCAAGAGACUGGGAGACCUUCAGUAGACUGACUGAUCUCACAGCCUCCUGAGCAGGUCAAGGCCAUACCAUCAGAUCAACAACUUGAGGAACCACAGAGCUUGUCCCAAGCCAGUGGCCAAAUGUUCUGGCAGUCCUAAAAGUAACAUUGGCCACUGGGCCCUUCUGUAGGUGGUGAGAAGGAAAAGAUGCCGAUGACGCACAUCUCAGCCCAGAUACGUGUGAGCUGUCGUGCUUAUCGUUACCAUUGUUCAUUUGCUGCAAAGCAGGUGUUAGCUCAGAAAAAAACCCAUAAAAGCUGCAUUCUGGAUUGUUUGUUCCUCGUUAAAAUGAUCUGGGCCCCCGUGGGCAUGUGUUGUCUUAAUAUUCUGGUGCUGAGAAGUGCCGCGUUUUCAUAAUGAAAGCUGUUGCAGGAAAGCAAUUCCGACCUCAGAUAAAGGGAGAAGAUUACACUUGCCACUCGAGUUAUGGUAUUAGAACAACUGAUUUUAUUUGUUUUCAUUUUCCCUGUCAGCUGCUGCUGAACCUCUAUGCAAUGUUCUUCAGAGAUGUUAAUUGUAUUUUGUGUGUCUGGAUCCCCCUAAGAAGUGACAAACAUUUUCAGUCACAAAUUGGAUGUCUCUUUUCAUUUAAACAUCAACUAGGAAAACUAAUUUAAGAAUGGUGAAGCUGUUGUUCCAGCAAGGGCCCUAAUAUGUGAUAGAAGCUGACAGAUAGAUUUAGGGAUGUAAAGCAACAAAUUUCGGUGUUGGGAAUGUAAAUCUAUAAGAUAUUCACUUAAUUUUUCUCUCAGCUGGGUCAUGACUGAAGAAAAAGAACCACAUGUAUGCAGUAGGACAAAAUAAUAAAGUAACUUCAUUCAGUUUUCAGGGGUAGAGUCACAUAACUUAGGUCCAGCGCUGAAGUGGACAGAGCAAUUUUUGGACAAAGUUCCUGGAGACACCUAUGGAUGCCUUUGCUUUAAAAAAGACUGGAUUGCUUUUUUAAAAGUCUUGAGUGAAAAGGAGAAAAUAACAGAUAAAUAACAUGCAAAGAGAUGAGGAGAACAUUGAGUACAUGGAUCUGUGCAAAGUGGGAUGAGGGAAUAAAUUGCGGGUCCUCCAAACAGCUGAGCUGCUGAGUGGAAAUGGAAGAUGACCAGAAGCUACACUUCUGACAGAGGUGCCUAGGCAAAUCCCCUAACAUGACCCAAGGCUUGUGAGGCUUGCACCUGAGUACAGUACAGUCUGAGUUCCCUAGAUCUGGGAACUCAGCACCAGGCUUGACUCUGUCAGCAACACAAACAAGUAUUUUAAGAAGAGCUGCCCUCCCCUUACUGGGAGAAUUCACAGUGCUGAGCAAAGAUGAAAUGAAGGUGCUCAGCAGGUAUUAAUGAUUCUCUCAGAUGCCCUGGAGAAAAAAGACCCCAGCAGAGCACAUAUCCCUCUCCCAGGCACCUCUCCCUUCCUACCCUCUGAUUCUGUAUGGUUAGAUGACAUGUGGUAAAAGAGCACGUGAACAUCAGGAAGGCAGUGGAAUAUUUUCCUUUUGUUUGCAAGUCAGUGUCCAACACGGGUUUCAGAGCUGGAGUUCUCCUCCCAUGAGUUCAGGGUCUGUUGCUCAUGGUUCUGUUUCAAGCUAGUCUGGGUGUGCUCCAAGCAGAGGGAGCUUUGCAGCAUUUAGGCAGCAGACACUUUCUGACAGGUAUUGUGCUCUCCUGUGAAAUGUGCAACAGUCCUUGACCAGAGUCAGUCACUGUGUUCUUCGGUAAAUGCUUGAAGGUGACUCCAAAUGCAUGUCUAAGUGACAUUUCUCUUGUCUUGGUGCUCAAGAGAAAAGAAACCAUCCUGUAGUUGCUGGAGCAAGACUGUCAGCUGCUGUGCAUCCUAUCAGACCAUGGCCUCAGCUUACACAUUAUGGGAUGGGCUUUCUUAUCUCUAGGUUGGGCAAAGCAAAUUUCCAGCCUCAUAGUCCUUUGUCUUUCCCUGUGGCUCCAAUAACUUCUCAAACAGGAAGUUCAAAGGACCUUAAAGCAACCUUGAUCCUCCUUUUUGGUUGAUGCCAGGUACAGCAUAAACCCUUGUGGAGAACAGUUGCCUGUUAACAGAGAAAUUACUGUGACCAGCAAGGAGGCUGAGGGGACAGGGACUGCCACACUGAAAAAUCUUUCUGGAGCAGCUGCAUGUUCAGCCCAUGACAUGAAGGAGUCACUAAGAGCUUCCUUAUUUAUUUUCUAAUUUUCUAUUUCAGGCAAUAGGCAGAACUGCAAGAAAGCUAAUUCUGAGGGGAGGUGGCUCUGCCUUCAUCCCUCAGGGUAUAACUCAUCAGGUACAAAAAGCACACAGCAUCUCCCAGAACUUCCUGUGGACUGUAAGUCAGGUUCUGGAAAUUUCACCUGUGCUAAGCAUCAUCUUCCUCCACAAGUGGUCCUCCUGCAAUCAGUGCAGUAGGUUCCUACCUGAGUGAGGAAGUCAGACAACAGCUGGUCCUCAAGAGCUGUGAGUUAAAAGUGUAGCAAGCAAGCUGAUUUCCAUAAAAAUGGAAAUGAGUCAGAGAGGGGAGAACUAUAUUUGAGUGCAAAUGCAAGCAAUUAGCUCAAAGCCAUUACUGUAAUGGCUAGAAAGACUUUUUUUUUAAUUAUCAUUACUGAAAUGCAUUAGCAAUAUCUUUUUUUAAAAAUGUAAGUAUACACAGUACAAUCCCAUCUAUCUGCCAGAGCAUGAAGUAACCCCAUUUCAGUGGUACGUGCAGAGGAGUCUGUGGAAACUCUUAAGUACAAACAGAACUUUACACAGGAAUAUGAAUGAAGGCAUUACCGGGGAGAACUUGAGAAAGGCAGCUGUGAUUAGUACCAACACAAAUAUUUGCUCAAAUAGGAAGCUGGACUUUCAGAACAAUUUCUAAGAACACCUGCCUGGCCUUGAGCUGUGCUGAUGCUCCUCUUCCCCAGAGCACUGCUUUUCUCUCCUUCCCCAGCAGAGACUUUGGAGGAUGCCUGGCUCAGGUACAGAGCUCACAGGUCCCAUCACAGGACGUGGCAGCACAGGGGACAUUCAGGAUCCUGCUGGUGUGGAUGCUAGCCGGCCAGGGAGAGAGAAACUGCAAUCGUUUCUCACAGUGGCUUGUGAGAUUUUUUAGGGAAUUGUGAGAAUGUGAUAAGUUGUUCGUAGGUGGUGUUUUUCCACCUUGUUUUCCUGUUCUUCUCAAGGAUGGUGUGUGAGAAAGAUGUUUUUUAUUAAGUAGCCAAUCGAGUGGAAUGCAUCAUACCAGUCUAUAAAAACUGAAGAUUCUUUUGUAA